UCCCGUGACUCAACCCCAAAAUUUGGCGCCUCUAAACAGUUCCUCUACCCUCUCCCACCAAAUGCAUUCCGCCGCCGCCUCACCGCCGACAUUCUCGCCGGCCGAAACCCUAACGGAAAUAACAACGCUCCUCUCUCCCCUCCUCACCUCAUCUCUCUCCACAAAGCACUUCACAUCUCGCUGGCAAGUCAUCCGAACAAAUCUCUCCUCUCUCUCCUCUCAUCUCUCUCAUCUCUCUAAUCUCUCCCAUAACUCUCUCCUCGACUCUCUCCUCUCCAACGUCCUCUCCACUCUCCGCCUCAUCGAGACUCUCGCCACAAAGUGUACGGACGACGUGUUGACUGCUGGGAAGUUACUGACGCAGAGUGACCUCGAUAUCGCUAUCGGUUCGAUAUCGAAGCAUGUUGAUGACCUGGACUUGUUAGUUAGGUCCGGUAUGCUGCAACAAUCGUCUGCAAUUGUGUUAAUUGAACCCGGAAUUGGUGCCGGAUUGGUAGAGCUAGGGUUUUAUGUUCGCGACGUUUUCGCGAGGUUACAAAUUGGGGGAAUUGAGUUCAAAGAUAAGGCUAUGGACUCGUUGAUUCAGGUUUUGAAAAAGGAUGAGAAGGCGGGGAGUGUGGUUGCAAAAGAGGGGAAUGUAAGGUAUUUAGUUUGUUUGCUUGAUUAUAAUGUGGAUGAUAGUUUACGCGAAAAGGUGGUUUUGGCUGUGGCGUUACUGGCGUCUGCUUGUGAAGAGUCGAGGAAAUGUGUGUUUGAGGAAGGAGCUUUAGGUCCUUUGUUGAGGAUUAUUGAAUCGAAUUCGGUUUUGUUGAGUGAAAGAGCGGUGAUGGCUGUUGAGGCAAUUACUGUUGAUCCGGAUAAUGCUUGGGCGGUUUUGGCUUAUGGUGGUGUGUCAGUUUUGAUUGAUGUGUGUAGAUAUGGGUCUAUUGUUGCACAGUCGCACGCUUUGGGGGCGAUUACGAAUGUUGCAUUAAUUGAGGAGAUAAGGAUUUGUUUGAGGGAAGAAGGUGGAGUGGGUUGCAUAGUUACUUUGUUAAGUUCGGUGCCAGCAAAAGCUGCGAAUUGUAUAUCAGUUUUGGCAUCGGUGGAUGAGGAUUGUCGUGAUUUGAUAUUGCAAGAGAAGGGGCUACAAGCUCUUUUGCAUUUGCUAGAUGAAUUGUCUGAUUUGGUUGUGUUAGAACAUGUUUUACGCGCAAUUUAUUCUCUUUCAUCUAUGGAUACCGUCAGGCUGUUAUCGUUAUCAAGUAGUUUUGUGAUUCAUCUGUCAGAAUUUAUAAAGAAUGGGAAUUUGGUUUUACAGCACCUUGCUGUUUCCUUAUUGGCUGAUUUGUCGAUGAUGAGUGAAAGGAAUAAGCAAAAUAUUGCCGGAUGUAUGUGUUAUUUGGUGAAAUUUAUGGAGACAGUAAAGCCGGGUGGAUUGCAGGAGGUGGCGACACAGUCACUUGUUUUGCUGUUGACUGUGAAAUCGAAUCGAAAGUAUUUGAUCGGUGAUGACGAGAGUGUGAUGAGAUUGGUUCAGAUGUUGGAUCCCAAGACUGAGUCAGUACCCAAGAAGUUUCCAGUGGCAGUGAUAUCGGCCAUUAUGGCCGGAGGGAGUAAUGGUUGUAGAAAGAAGCUUGUGGCUUCCGGUGCUUGCAGAUAUCUACAAAAUUUGGCAGAAAUGGAGGUGGCCGGAGCCAAAAAACUAUUGCAAAAAUUAUCUGGAAAUAGGCUCAAGAGUAUACUAAGCAGUACUUGGAGGGAAUAGAAUGCAAAAUCACUAAUCCCACUAUUCCAAGAAAGGAAUUCUCUUGGAUUUUUCUUACUGUCAAGGAAGCUACUUUCCAAAUGCAAGCAGCAAACUGCAAAUAGACACACAUGUGUGGGCAGAUCAGAGAAAGGGUCAUUCUCAUUUGGAUUCUGAGCUGAAAAUGUCGGGGCUGCUGCUUGAAAUGUAGGCAGUGCAUAUGCUGGAGUUGUUUCUUGGAACAUAGGCGCUGCUGAAAUUGCAUCAUUGGUCUGAAAACCUGGCUCGAAAUUUUCUAGACCAGCAUCCGUAGUUGGAUCUGCAAUACUAGUGUCUGCUAGCACCUGCUGCCAACCCUGUCCUGAACUCGUAUCUUGCCCGUUUAUAUGUUCGGGUUCUGUAAAGGGAUCAAAAUUGUUUGGUUUGUCAGGCUCUAAGUGUAAUGUUGUCUGAUUUUCUGGGUUGUUUGCAUAUUCUGGUGGGAAUACUGCUGACUGAUUAUACAAAUUAUCCAGUGAAAAGUUAAUAUUUGGCAUUUGUUGUAUCGGUUGUGAGCUGGUU